GGCGCACGGGUGCGUAACACGUAUGUAAUCUACCCGUUACUUNNGGAUAGCCCGGAGAAAUCCGGAUUAACACCCAAUACUACUAUGAGACGGCAUCGUUUUAUAGUUAAAAAUUUAUUGGUAACGGAAGAGCAUGCGGUCGAUUAGCUAGUUGGUGAGGUAACGGCUCACCAAGGCGACGAUCGAUAGGGGACCUGAGAGGGUGAUCCCCCACACUGGUACUGAGAUACGGACCAGACUCCUACGGGAGGCAGCAGUAGGGAAUAUUGGGCAAUGGGCGAGAGCCUGACCCAGCCAUGCCGCGUGCAGGAAGACGGCCUUCUGGGUUGUAAACUGCUUUUGAACGGGAACAAAGAGCUCCUGCGGGAGAAGAAGAGUGUACCGUUAGAAUAGGCACCGGCUAACUCCGUGCCAGCAGCCGCGGUAAUACGGAGGGUGCAAGCGUUGUCCGGAUUUAUUGGGUUUAAGGGUGCGUAGGCGGCCUGUUAAGUCAGUGGUGAAAUCCUGCAGCUCACUGUAGAAUUGCCAUUGAUACUGACGGCUUGAUUCAGGCGAGGUAGGCGGAAUGNCGUGU
rnacentral:rRNA from 1 species